rnacentral:rRNA from 1 species
UUAACUGACGCUAAAGCUCGAAAGUGCGGGUAUCGAACAGGAUUAGAUACCCUGGUAGUCCGCACGGUAAACGAUGGAUGCCCGCUGUUGGCGAUAUAGUGUCAGCGGCCAAGCGAAAGCGUUAAGCAUCCCACCUGGGGAGUACGCCGGCAACGGUGAAACUCAAAGGAAUUGACGGGGGCCCGCACAAGCGGAGGAACAUGUGGUUUAAUUCGAUGAUACGCGAGGAACCUUACCCGGGCUUGAACUGCCAGCGAACGAUCCAGAGAUGGUGAGGCCCUUCGGGGCGCUGGUGGAGGUGCUGCAUGGUUGUCGUCAGCUCGUGCCGUGAGGUGUCGGCUUAAGUGCCAUAACGAGCGCAACCCCUUUCUCCAGUUGCCAUCAGGUAGAGCUGGGCACUCUGGAGACACUGCCACCGUAAGGUGUGAGGAAGGUGGGGAUGACGUCAAAUCAGCACGGCCCUUACGUCCGGGGCUACACACGUGUUACAAUGGGUGGUACAGAGAGUCGGUCGCUGGCAAUAGCGAUCCAAUCCUAAAAGCCAUCCUCAGUUCGGAUUGGGGUCUGCAACCCGACCCCAUGAAGCUGGAUUCGCUAGUAA